UCUUCACUUCCUACCAUUCUUGUUACUCCUUGUGGUGGUAAAUUGAGUUGAUGCAUCGCAAGCAUUAACUCCCUCAAUUAUUCUUGCAUCUGUGCCAUUGCACUCUUCAUUUCAACAAGCUCUGCCAUAGUAGCACUUAGAAAAGAGAAGAUGUCUAAUAACGCUCAAAACAAAUAGAAGAGAGGAAUUGAUAACAAAGAAAAUACUAAGAACAAUAUCAGUUUAAAAGAGGGUAAUCCGCAACUUCUAAUGCGCUUAUGUCUUAUCAAGAAAAAGGAGUAAUCCACUCUUAAUCAAGAAAAGACAAAGCUCU
rnacentral:lncRNA from 1 species